UACGUAGGGUGCAAGCGUUAAUCGGAAUUACUGGGCGUAAAGCGUGCGCAGGCGGUUUUGUAAGUCUGUCGUGAAAGCCCCGGGCUCAACCUGGGAAUUGCGAUGGAGACUGCAAGGCUUGAAUCUGGCAGAGGGGGGUAGAAUUCCACGUGUAGCAGUGAAAUGCGUAGAGAUGUAGAGGAACACCGAUGGCGAAGGCAGCCCCCUGGGUCAAGACUGACGCUCAUGCACGAAAGCGUGGGGAGCAAACAGG
rnacentral:rRNA from 1 species